rnacentral:lncRNA from 10 species
AGAAAAUCAGAAGUACAGUUUUAUCUAGCCACAUCUUGGAGGAUAUUACUUUUUUGGUCCCUAUUAAACUAUGUGGCAGCAAGUCACAAAGGAGGAAUCAGAAAGUAACCUGCUCCCCACCCUUGGUGUGUAGUCCAGUUAGCAAGGAGUCGUAAGAAAGCAGUGGGAGUUGAAGUCAUUGUCAAGUGCUUGCGAUCUUUUACAAGAAAAUCUCACUGAAUGAUAGUCAUUUAAAUUGGUGAAGUAGCAAGACCAAUUAUUAAAGGUGACAGUACACAGGAAACAUUACAAUUGAACAAUGCCUCAGCUAUACAUUUACAUCAGAUUAUUGGGAGCCUAUUUGUUCAUCAUUUCUCGUGUUCAAGGACAGAAUCUGGAUAGUAUGCUUCAUGGCACUGGGAUGAAAUCAGACUCCGACCAG